rnacentral:lncRNA from 1 species
UCUGGACAUACCUGUUCUUUUCUCAAACUAUUGUAUUUGGACUGGGAAGUAAUUAUCCUCCUAUCACAGGAAGUUCAGGAUACCCACUUUGGGCCUCCUUGCUUGUUGAUCAUUAUCACCAAUGAUGCCCUUUUCCUGUGUAUUAAGAAGAGUGUCACGGUCUCAGUCAAGGAGGAAGGUCUGAUGAUGGUGAAGAACUUUGUUCAAGAAACAGCUUUUUAUUAAGUCUUCCUUAGCAUUUCCUCACCUCCAUUUCAUUAAUAAAAACUGGUAACAGUG